CUGAAAGCUAUCUGGGACAAAUGGGUGUCUGAAACAUGUUUCAACAUAGUCAAGAACCCACACUUUGCUGCAAUAAUAAAGAUUAUACUUCUCCAGGCCUGAUAACCUGCUCUACCACAUCAAUGGUUAACAAACGGAUGGACGAGAGUAUGGAAGAAUGUUGAAAUACGUGCAUAUCUUUACAGUUCUUAGUUCAUCAAGACCACAUCCAAGCAUCUUUGAAAUAUGAUAAGAAAUUCUGCCUCAACAAUGUUCUCAGAUACAAAUACAUGAUGAAUUCUAAUUAUGCACUGAACAGAAUGAUAACGUUCUAACUGGACACAAGGAAAGCAACUUGAAAAAUUUAUAAAGCAAAAUCAGAGUUGUUACUGAAUAAACGCUGUAUCCUUUGACGUAUAUAGUAUCUCCGUGAUUCUUGCAAUUAUAAAUUUUUGUGAAGCAAUAAAG